AUACGGAGGGUCCAAGCGUUAUCCGGAAUCAUUGGGUUUAAAGGGUCCGCAGGCGGUCAAUUAAGUCAGAGGUGAAAGCCUAUCGCUCAACGAUGGAACUGCCUUUGAUACUGGUUGACUUGAGUUAUACGGAAGUAGAUAGAAUAAGUAGUGUAGCGGCGAAAUGCAUAGAUAUUACUUAGAAUACCGAUUGCGAAGGCAGUCUACUACGUAUAUACUGACGCUGAGGGACGAAAGCGUGGGGAGCGAACAGGAUUAGAAACCCCGGUAGUCC
rnacentral:rRNA from 1 species